rnacentral:lncRNA from 1 species
CCCGGAGCCCCUGCGAUGGGAAGACCUCAGACGGCUUUUGUGACCUGGGAGGGAGUGUAGCCGGAGUUGCGGCCCUGAGAGGCGGUGAGGCUGUGCAGUCCGGGUUCUGCUGAGCUUUCUCCCCACUUCCUUUUCGCUGCCCAGUUUUCCUGUCCUUGAUGUCCCGGGCCUGGCGUGUCUUGGACGGAAACUCGGCAUCUUCUGUUUACUGCUGGCAUCCACGAAACAGUAACAGGCCCCAGACUCUUCACAGAUCCUGAAACCACUCACCUGCCUAAGACUGACAACGUUGGCACAAUUUCAACCUCCCUGUGCCUUUCUUCCCGGGGAAGGAAGCUGAGAGGGGAUGAAUCAAGUAACAUAAUAAACUUCUGAGAAGCAAUAUGUUUGGGUCUCCAUCUUUCUUUCAAAAAAGAAGCUUCAUAUCAAGACUUGGAAAGAAGUGCAAAUCUCUUAGUGAAGAAACUGCCAAGAAAAUUACUGCUCACCUAGCUCAAAGAGAAACAUUAAUUAAAGGUAAGACAUGGGCAAGAAGUAAAAUGGAGCUUGUAUGAGUUAAUUCUAUCAUAAUUAACAUUUAUAAUUCCUCUCAAUUUCAGAGGAUGACUGUGUUUUUGCAGAAACCCUUGAAUUAUUUAAUGUAUUUCUAAAGAAAACUUUCGAAAUCCCUGGAGAUGAAUUUUUACCUUUCUAUAAAGACUCUUUCCACCCCCAUUCAGAGUCUCCGUACAAGUUUAUAUGAUAGAACUUUGGUCUAAGAAAAUGGGAAUGGAUUUAGGUAAACCUGAGAUUAUUCUACUUAUUUAUAAUGACAUCAGUGGGCAGGGGGGAUGGUCUCUGUUAUGGAAAAAUAUUCUAUAUGUGUGAUUAUGUGGUUUCCAGAAUUAUGCACUCUGAAUUUUUGAUUUUAUAUUCAUUUAAUCUUUCUUAAUUUAAUCAUUUGCAGUGAGGAAAAACAGCUCUCUGGUAAUUGUUUUAAAAUCAUGGCAAGCAUAGGCUCCACUGUAUAUACAAAAUUGUGUAUGUAUGUUUGAAUGGAAGAGUAAACAUUGCCAGGGUAGGGAAAGGAUGCAGGAGAAUUUUGAAACAGGUACUGUAAUACAGUAUAUUCUUCUUGGUUCUCCUGAUUAAACACAUCUGUAUUCUGUUACUCAUGGCUACAACUACAUGGAAUGCAUUAUAGAAAUAGAAUCACAUGCUCAUCCUGCCACAAGUACAAGAACAUUUACAGUUUGUGUUGAAGAGAAGAAAUACAUGGAACUAGGAAGACAUCUCUGACUAUGGUUACUUGGAUUUCUUCUGAAUACCUUAUAAGAGGGGGAUGUUUCCCAGCUCUGUGCCAGGUAUUUAAGACCUGGAGUAAGGACAAAAUAAAGAGACUGAAUCUUGGUUUCCCCUGCACUAAAAAUAUUCUGUUUCAGCUUCCCAGCCCAGAGUACAGGGAAGAAGCCAAAAUUUCCACUAUAACUUCUAAACUGGUAGCAAAACUAAUAAUCUCCUGUGGGGUGUGGGAGGACGAGGAUCUUCAUUGCUCCUUCCUACAUGCUCCUUCAUGAAUAUAAUCACUGGCCCUAUGGAUUUGCUGGAUAAGACAACCAAAAAUAAGCUCAUUACAGACAUAAACUUAGCAAUUUUAUGGAAAAGGGCAAAAAACAUGAGUUCAUAUACACCCAGAAAGCCAAUGGCUUUUAAACACAUGAAAAUAAACUAGAUUUCUCCAUUAAAGCAAAUAAGACAAAACCACACAGAGUUACCAUUUUCAUGUGGCAGGUCAAGUAAAACCCAGAUGUUUUAUGGUUCAUUGGAUAGAUGAGGGUGAAGGCACUAUUGUUGUUGGGAAUCAAAACCGGUAAAAUUCUUUGGAAGUCUGCUUGGAAAUAUCUACCAAAUGUGAUAUGAUUUUAGGAAAAUUAGUACUGCACAAAUAUCUCUAGGACAUUUCAUACAGAUAUAAUCACCUUAAUGUAUAAAAUCAUAUGUAUGAUGAUACAGAUCUUCUUUGAUUUACCUCCCACUAAACCCAUCAUAAAAUAAAAAUAUUAUAGAUUGAAAAUGUUUUUAAUACACUUAAACUACUGAACAUCAUAGCUUAACCUAGCCUAACUUAAUUGUGCUCAGAACAUUUACAUUAGCCUGCAGUUGUGCAAAAUCAUCUAACACAAAGACUAUUUUAUAAUAAACUGUUGAAUAUCUCAUGUAGUUUAGUGAAUACUAUACUGAAGGUGAAAAAUAAUGGUUGUAUAGGUAUAGAAUGGUUCUGAGUGUAUCACAUGUUUACCCUCAUGAUCUGGCUGACUGGGAUGGUGGCUUGAUGUCACUGCACAGCAUCACAAGAGAGAAUCCUACUACAUAUUGCUAACCUGGGAAAAGAUCAAAAUUCAAAAUUUAAAGUAUAGUUUUAUAAAUGUAUAUUGUGUUAGCACCAUAGUAAAACUGAAUAAUUGUAAGUUGAGAACUAUCUGUAUUCAUUACAAAAACUUACAAAACAAACUGAAUUCUAUUUGUAAGAAUAAAAGAAUGUAGACAAUCUAAACAUCUGACAACAGUAGAAUGCUUAAAUAAAUUCUUUUACAUAGAAUAUCAAGCAGACAGUAAAAAAGAGGAAGUUUCUGGUAUGAACCAAUUUCCAAGAUACUUUGUUAAAUGAAAUAAAGUAGAUACACAAGAGUACAGAUAUUCUGCCACCUCCCACCAUUCAUCCUAGCCUUUCUCUCCUCCAGGUUGGCCAAGCUCAUUUGGAGGCUCAAGGCCUUUGUACUUGCUAACACUUAGUCUGUAAUGUCUUACUGAUUUUCACAUAGAUAGAUUAGAGACAAGUUGGCAGAGUAGAAGAACUCAAGCUCACCUCCUAUCACAAAAUACGCCAAAAUUACAACUAACUGCUGAACAGCCGUCAGCAAAAUAGAUUGGAAGCUAUCAAAAAAAGAUAUCCUACACCCAAAGACAACCCUAGAUGGCAGGAGGAGCACUUUGGCAAUAUAAGCAAUCCCAUAUCUGUCAGGAGGGCAGCCCAUAGCCUGAAAAAUAACUAUAUAUUGUAGGGCUCUCCAACAAGACUGAGGAUUCUGAGCCCUGCAUAAGGUUUCCAAGUCUGGGAAUCUGCCACUGGGAGGAGGAACUCCUGGAGCAUUUGGCAUUGAAGGCCAGUGGGGCUUGAGUGCAGGAAUUCACAGUACUGGGGGAAACAGAAAUGCCACUCUUAGAAUUGUGCAUACAGGGUUUCACAUGCACCAAACAGGCUGCCUAAAGUCCUUAUAGGCACAGAAUCACCUCUAAUCAUACCCAGAGACAAAGCCCUACCCACCAGAGCGCUACCUACCAGUGGGCAGGCACCAGUCCUUCACAUCAGGAAGCCUGCCACAAGCCCUUGUAUCAGCUUUGCCCACAAGAGGGCAGGUGUCAGAAGCAAGAGAGGCUAUAACCCUAU